AUUGAACGCUGGCGGCAGGCCUAACACAUGCAAGUCGAGCGGACGAAGGGAGCUUUUUCCUGGAUUCAGCGGCGGACGGGUGAGUAAUGCCCAGGAAUCUGCCCGGCAGUGGGGGAUAACGUCCGGUAACGGGCGCUAAUACCGCACACGAUCAGAGGGAGAAAGUCGGGGAUCUUUGGACCCAAACCUAUUAGAUGAGCCUAGGACGGAUUAGCUAGUUGGUGGGGUAAAGGCUUACCAAGGCGACGAUCCGUAACUGCUCUGAGAGGAUGAUCAGUCACACUGGAACUGAGACACGGUCCAGACUCCUACGGGAGGCAGCAGUGGGGAAUAUUGGACAAUGGGCGAAAGCCUGAUCCAGCCAUGCCGCGUGUGUGAAGAAGGUCUUCGGAUUGUAAAGCACUUUAAGUUGGGAGGAAGGGAAGUAAGUUAAUACCUUGCUGUUUUGACGUUACCUACAGAAUAAGCACCGGCUAACUUCGUG
rnacentral:rRNA from 1 species